rnacentral:rRNA from 1 species
GACGAAUGCUGGCUGCGUGCUUAACACAUGCAAGUCGAACGGUGAAGGAGGGCUUGCCCUCCGGAUCAGUGGCGAACGGGUGAGCAACACGUGGGCAACCUGCCCCUCACUCUGGGAUAACGCCGGGAAACCGGCGCUAAUACCGGAUACGACCAGGCGCGACAUCUCGCCUGGUGGAAAGAAUUUCGGUGAGGGAUGGGCCCGCGGCCUAUCAGCUAGUUGGUGGGGUAACGGCCCACCAAGGCGACGACGGGUAGCCGGCCUGAGAGGGCGACCGGCCACACUGGGACUGAGACACGGCCCAGACUCCUACGGGAGGCAGCAGUGGGGAAUAUUGCGCAAUGGGCGAAAGCCUGACGCAGCAACGCAGCGUGAGGGACGAAGGCCUUCGGGUUGUAAACCUCUUUCAGCGGGGACGAAGCGAAAGUGACGGUACCCGCAGAAGAAGCACCGGCUAACUACGUGCCAGCAGCCGCGGUAAAAC